rnacentral:rRNA from 1 species
GACGAACGCUGGCGGCGUGCCUAACACAUGCAAGUCGAGCGGGGUUGAGGCGAGAGGUAACUCGAGCUUCUACCUAGCGGCGGACGGGUGAGUAACGCGUGGGCAACCUGCCUCAAGGUUUGGGAUAACAGCCCGAAAGGGCUGCUAAUACCGGAUAUGCCUAUGGCCUCGCAUGGGGCUAUGAGCAAAGGGGAAACCCGCCUUGAGAUGGGCCCGCGUCCCAUCAGCUAGUUGGUGAGGUAACAGCUCACCAAGGCGACGACGGGUAGCCGGCCUGAGAGGGUGACCGGCCACACUGGGACUGAGACACGGCCCAGACUCCUACGGGGGGCAGCAGUGGGGGAUCUUGCACAAUGGGCGAAAGCCUGAUGCAGCGACGCCGCGUGAGCGAAGAAGGCCUUCGGUUGUAAGCUCUGUCUCGGUAGGGACGGAACAAAAUAGACGGUACCGUACCGGUACGGAAGGCCGACGGACUAACUACGUAGCCAGCAGCCGGCGGUAGUACUGUAGUCGUC